rnacentral:rRNA from 1 species
AUUGAACGCUGGCGGCAGGCUUAACACAUGCAAGUCGAACGAGUGGCGGACGGGUGAGUAAUGCUUGGGAAUCUAGCUUAUGGAGGGGGAUAACUACGGGACACUGUAGCUAAUACCGCGUACCAUAGGAUGAGCCCAAGUGGGAUUAGGUAGUUGGUGAGGUAAAGGCUCACCAAGCCGAUGCUCUCUAGCUGGUCUGAGAGGAUGACCAGCCACACUGGGACUGAGCCACGGCCCAGACUCCUACGGGAGGCAGCAGUGGGGAAUAUUGCGCAAUGGGCGCAAGCCUGAUGCAGCAAUGCCGCGUGUAUGAAGAAGGCCUUCGGGUUGUAAAGUACUUUCAGUCGAGAGGCGUUACCGACAGAAGAAGCACCGGCUAACUACGUGCCAGCAGCCGCGGUAAUUC